rnacentral:sRNA from 1 species
ACAUUAUAUAUACAAACUGCACGGACUGACGUCAGACCUCCAAACAGUUGUAGUAUAUGAUUCAUGUAUACAUAAGGAAGUUUUCCUUCUAUGCAGCAUGCUAAUCAACAAUAACAGAAAAAGUACUUAAUCGAUUGAAAUGGUUAAUAUAAGAUAGAUACGGAGAAGGGUAGACUUGUUCAGGUCAUUAUGUUUGUUUACAAGGGCUGGGGGUCGUGGUCAUGAUCUUUCUAAGAAAAAGAAUUCCGUAUAAAGAUAUAAGGAAAAUAUUCAGAUCUUUAAGCUAAAUUAUAUAAUUUUUUUUCUUUUCUGAACAAUUGUUUAUACCUGAAUAAAACGAUAUCUUAAGAUUUAAGGAAGAUCGGUUGAGUAAUUUGUUGAUCACCCAGUCUCUUUUUAAAAAUACUUUUUCGGUAAUGUCAACCAAAGGACAACACAGAGACUGAAUGUUAUGCAGAGACUGAAUGUUAAGCAGAGACUGAAUGUUAAGUAAUAGUGUAAUGCUUUUUUCGGUGGUUCAUACGGCCGAAAAAAAAAAUCAACGCGUGCUAUAUUGCAAUGCAAUGCUUUCUACACCCCUUAAGAAAGCAUUUUAUUGUUUAACCAUAAGUUUUACUUAUCUCUGAUAAAAUCAGAAAUAGAUUGAAUAUGUAACAGUCAUUCGUUUGAAAAUACAUUCAAGUCUCAUGUUAUUUAAUUAUAAGCGAAUAUCAAAAUGAGUACCCCCCCCC